AGAACGAACGCUGGCGGCGCGCCUAAUACAUGCAAGUCGAACGAGAAUGUGUAGCAAUACACAUGUACAGUGGCGAACGGGUGAGGAAUACAUGGGUAACCUACCCUCGAGUGGGGAAUAACUAGCCGAAAGGUUAGCUAAUACCGCGUACGCCUCCUGGACUGCGGUUCGGGAGGGAAAGCGAUACCGUGGGUAUUGCGCUCUUGGAUGGGCUCAUGUCCUAUCAGCUUGUUGGUGAGGUAACGGCUCACCAAGGCUUCGACGGGUAGCUGAUCUGAGAGGAUGAUCAGCCACACUGGCACUGCGACACGGGCCAGACUCCUACGGGAGGCAGCAGUAAGGAAUAUUGCGCAAUGGGCGAAAGCCUGACGCAGCGACGCCGCGUGGGGGAUGAAGGUCUUCGGAUUGUAAACCCCUUUCGGGAGGGAAGAUGGGAUGGGGUAACCCAUUCGGACGGUACCUCCAGAGGCAGCCACGGCUAACUUCGUGCCAGCAGCCGCGGUAAUACGGAGGUGGCAAGCGUUGUUCGGAUUUACUGGGCGUACAGGGAGCGUAGGCGGUUGGGUAAGCCCUCCGUGAAAUCUCCAGGCUUAACCUGGAAAGUGCAGAGGGGACUGCUCAGCUAGAGGAUGGGAGAGGAGCGCGGAAUUCCCGGUGUAGCGGUGAAAUGCGUAGAGAUCGGGAGGAAGGCCGGUGGCGAAGGCGGCGCUCUGGAACAUUUCUGACGCUGAGGCUCGAAAGCGUGGGGAGCAAACAGGAUUAGAUACCCUGGUAGUCCACGCCUUAAACGAUGGAUACUAAGUGUCGGCGGGUUACCGCCGGUGCCGCAGCUAACGCAGUAAGUAUCCCGCCUGG
rnacentral:rRNA from 1 species